rnacentral:lncRNA from 1 species
AAGGACCGAGAGAAGGCCGUGGAAGAAGCAAACGUGGGCCUGGAAACGCUAGAAAAUGAGCUCAAGGAUAAGAAGUUCUUUGGAGGAGAGAGUAUCGGAUUUGUAGAUAUCGCUGCCAAUUUCAUAGGCUUUUGGGUUGGAGUUCUUGAGGAAGUGGUUGGAGUGGAAUUGCUGACAAUUGACAAAUUUCCAAUAUUAUGCAAAUGGAGAGAUGAGUACGUCGGGUGCAGUGGGAUCAAGGAAAAUCUGCCUUCCAAAGAAAAGCUAGGGGCCUAUUUUCGGACCCGGGUUGAAAGCGCCAGUCAAUCCGAAUGAAUGGUUUGUGGAUGAGGUUAUGCGGACUGCUGCUCAUGGACAUGAGUAACUUGAAAGAAAACCAGCCUUCUGUAUGUUUGUGUAAUGCGUUAUGCUUCUGCUUUUCUAGUAUGUUGUAUACUUGUUUUGGCAUGUAAUAAGGAGUCGAUUGCCGUGGUUUGUCGUUUUGGAUGAACCGGCAAACGUGUUAGACUAUAUGGUCUGUACACCUUUUCCACUCCUCGCUUUGUGAGAAUAAAGGAUGUUGAGUCAAACAUUGACAGUGUGAACUUGAACAUGGAAACAAUAAAGCCCGUCACUCUUGCUUUGUGUGCGGCUCAGAAGCUGAACAUGUAGUCCAGGAGCCGUGAUUCAACUCUCUUACUAACAAAAAGACAACAUAUACCCCCUCAAUCGGUCAUUAAUGACAUAUUUAUUUUCUUUAUUCAUUAUGUCAUCAUGCUAUUCCUUCACUUUUUCCUUCUCAAGUGGAUUAAGCAGAGACCUUGGAAAAAUUAAUCCUUUUGAGGAGGCAGAAGUAGGCAUGUUUGCAUGUGAUUAAGAAUAAACAUCGGCCAUGGAGAAUGAACAUUGUUACAUGACCUAGCCAUGAAUAUAUACUAAAACAUAAAGAGCUAGGAAUUCCCAACUCCACCUCGGGUAGAUUUGGUGUGGAUUGAACAUACUAUAGACGAGAUACGAGUUAGCCUGCCAUCCUGUCCAAUCUAAUUAAGUUGCAGCUAGUCUUAAAAAGAACCAAUUUCCUUCUAAAUAUUCAUUUAGGAACUGGGAAGGAUACCUUUCAUAAACAUGUCAUAACACACUUGACAACCCGGGACUACUAUGGUAGAUUAUGCAUUAAUAGGGCCUCUUUUUCUUCCUUUUUCACUUUUCUGGAAGUGUACACCAACAACUGUGCCUGGGGGAUGAUAUCGAUUGACGAAUUUAUAAGUAUAAAACACCUAAGGUUGUUCUAUGGUACCCAAUCUCUAUUUUGGGAUACCUACCCACAUUUGACCCCAAUAAAAAGAUGACAUGUGUAAAGUACAUAUCAUUAAAAAAUUUAUAAAAACUUAUCAAAUCGGUAAAGAUAAUUUGUUGGUGAGAAAUAAUCACAUGCAUUUCAUCUAUAUAUAAAUAUUAUAACUUUUUUAUAAUUUAUUAUUAAAUAUCAAAUAUAAUUUGUUAUUUAAUGCAUUACCUAACUCUAUCUAAAAAAAGAAAAUCCUACCAACUAUUCUUAUACUCUCAUUAUUCAUAUAUAAAAAAAAAGAUAGUAAUUUAAUAUGAAAAUUAAAUAAUUUCAACUACCAAAUUACAAAAUAUGUAAGACGUAUUUUGAUGAAUCAAAUUUCAAGAUCAAGUUUAAAACUUUUUUAGAGAGAAAAAUUAAAAUUUGUAUUAUAUGAAGAAGAUGAAGGAUUUCAAGUGAUUACAAGUGUCAAAAAUAAUAUUUGAUAUUUUUUUUAUCCAAAUAUAAUUGUUGUAGAAAGAAAUGUGAUGUUAAAUAACGAUUUUAGAAUUUUUUAUGAGUUUAUUAUAAAAUUUUGUUAUCAAAUUGUUACUAAUAUUUUUAUAUAAUUAUUUUUUUUUUGUUCAUAGAUUAAAUUUGAAGAUGAAGCUUUAUAUGUCUUGAAGGAUGUCAAGUGAUUACAAGUGUUAAAAGGUAACCUUUGAUUUUUUUUUCCAUUUACAUAUAACUAUUGUAGGUAGAAAUGUCAUGUUAAAUGACAUUUAAAUAUGUAAUGAUUUAUAACAUCUAGAUUUUUUAAUUUUUUUUAGUUAUUAUUAAUCAAAUUGAGAGCAUUUAGUCAUUUGUUAUGAAAUUGUCAUCAAUAUUUUGUAAGAUAAGGGUACAAACUUUUUAAGAGAUGGUACAAACUUUAGUACAAACAUUGUAAGAGAGGAUACGAACAUUAUAAGAUAAUAUACGAACUUUCUAAGAGAUGGUACGAAGUUUACAAGAGAUUGUACGAACUUUGUAAGAGAUGGUACGAACUUUCUAAGAAAAUAUAUGAACUUUAUAAGAGAUGGUAUGAACUUUGUAAGAGAAGGUACGAACUUUGUAAGAGAAUGUACGAACUUUCUAAGACAAUGUACGAACGUGGUAAAAGAGGAUACGAACUUUGUAAGAAAUGGUACAAACUUUCUAAGAGAUGGUACGAACUUUUUGAAGAGAUUGUACGAACUUUCUAAGAUAGUGUACAAACUUUGUAAAAGAUGGUACGAACUUUGUAAGAGAUGGUACGAACUUUCUAAGAAAUUGUACGAACUUUCUAAGAGAUAGUAUGAACUUUGUAAAAGAUGGUACGAACUUUGUAAAAGAGGGUACGAACUUUUUAAGAGAUGGUACGAAUUUUAUAAGAGAGUGUACGAACUUUGAAAAUAUAAUAUUUUACAAUUACGUAGUGUUUUAAUUUUUUAAUUUUCUUGAAAAUAGUUUCCAUCAUUUCUAUGCUUGAUUAGUAUCAAUAAACAAUAUUAUUUGCAUUUUUAAGUGGAAAAAAUUGAAAAAAUUUUAAAUUUCAGGAUAUGGAGAAUAUGAUGUAGGGUAUGAAGAAUGUAUGGAUUUCUCAUAAUCUUCAUACCUUUUCUCACAUGUUUUGUAUCCUCUCUAAUUUUUUAGUGUUUUAAUUUUCUAAUUUUUUUUAGGAUAAUUUACAUUAUUUCCAAUUUUAAAAUUUUAAAAUUCUUUUUUUUGUAACAAUUCUAUCAAUAAUAACUCAAAUAAUAUUAUUAAACUAUGUUAUUGUUAUUUCAAGUUAAAAACUAAAUAUGAAAUUUUAAAAAUAUAAAUAAUUUAGGGUACAAAAAAUAUGAGAACAGUACGAAAAAUGUGAUAAAUACAUGUUUGGCACUUUCAUCACAUUUUUUAUAUUGAUUUUUAGUUUUAAAAUUUUUGAAAUUAAAAAUUUAUUUUCGAAAAUACUAUCAUUAGUAACUCAAAAGAGUAUUAGUAAUUUAUUUUAUCUAAUUUAACUUUAAAAACCUUAAAUUCAAAAAAUGUAAAAUUUGGAGAGUACAUAAAAAAAUUAGGACAAUCUAAUUACCUAAGUUUUACAUAUGAUUAUCAAAAUGUUGAAUUUUAAUUAAAAUACUCAUUUUAUAUUAAAAUAUUAUCAUAUUCAUUUUUAUGUUGAAUUUAAAUCUUUAAUAAUUUGUUAAAAAUAAAAUAAUGUAAUUAUGAUAUAUGAUGAUUUUUUUUUUUUGCUAAUAAAUAUGUUUUCAAAUUUUAUAUCAUUUUUAUUUUUAUUUUUUUCCAAUUCUAUUUUUAUCUCAUAUUUAUUUUAUUUAAACCAAAAAUUGUUAAGAAUGGAGGAAGAAAGAAGGUCAUGAUUCUUCUCUUAACUGGUUAAGAGGAAUUUUUAUUUCAAAUUUAAAAUAGAUGGCCAAGAUGUAAUAUUGAACAUCAAUGGCUUAGAAAAACUUUUCGGUAGGUACCGAAGAGGUACCCUAGAAUUUUCCAACACCUGGAGGCUUAUUUGCCAAGUAAUCCUAUAAUUGUCCCUCCGUAAGAAGGCGCGAACUUGAAAGAAGAACCAAAUGUAAAAGCAGAACCACAUACUCUUUUAAUGUGGAAAUAGAGAAGUUGGGACCAAGUGAAGCUCAUUGUGAUGUGGGAAAACCCUUUGAAACUAAAAUGAGUCUGGUAUGAUUACAAUGAAGAAGAUCUCAAUAAUAAGAGUUUGUUGCUUCUCUAGUCGCUCUACAUGCUCCCACACAACAUAAAGCCCAUUGUGGAUUGUUAACUUGUAAUGCAUAGAAGAACUUAGAAAGCGGCGAUCUAUGGCACGUUUCUGUAAUGUCCGGGUAUUUUAGGCCACGUUGAAAAUUCUAGUUUGAAAAGUUUUCCUUUGAGUAGUGGUUGAAAAGUCAAAAAAAAAAAAAAAAUGAUUGGAGAAUACGUGUUAAUUUUGAAUUGAUGAAAUUCGAUUUAUUGUGUUGAUCAAUUAGACGAGUUAAAAAUUUUGUGCCACGUCAACCUUAUGGUAGAAAUUUUCUUAGGAUUUUAGAAAUUGAAAAUUUCCGGAAACAAAAAAUGAAAACAAAAAUGAAAAGUGAAUUAAUUAAAAUUAAUUAGAAUUAAUUUUUAUCAAAAUUUUCUUAGGAUAUUAAAAAUUGAAAAUUUCAGGAAACGAAAAACGAAAACGAAAAUGAAAAGUAAAUUAAUUAAAAUUAAUUAGAAUUAAUUUUUAUCAAAAUUUUCUUAGGAUUUUAGAAAUUGAAAAUUUACGGAAACGAAAAACGAAAACGAAAAUUAAAAGUGAAUUAAUUAAAAUUAAUUAGAAUUAAUUAAAUAAAAAAAUAAAUUAAAUUUGUUUAUUAAGAAAAAUUGAGAAAAUUAAAUUUUUGAGUUGGUGUUUAAUACAUUAAUUUGUGUGUUAGUAAAAAAAAUUGGAAAUGAAACAAAUGGGAUAAAUAUAAUAAAAGAAAUAAAUAGGAUUCAAUGGGGCCUUUGGAUAUUGGGUCAUGGAUAAUGGGCUGGUGGUUAAAUGAAAUAAAUAAAAUAAAAUAAAAAAGGAAAAAAGGAAAAGCAAUUAAAAAGUGGUAGAACAGGAGAGAGAGAAAGAGUCCUGACGGACUGUGGAGAAACCCAUCUCGUCAGAACUUUGGCCAACCUAUUGGACGGUCGAACGUCCGUUUCGGCUCAAAUUUUGAAGAGGUGUUCUACUCGACGAAAGAAACGAUUCUACGAUGGCCGAUCAUGAUUUUAAUGGUCGAAUUCUUAAAUCUAUGGUAUGAACUUUUAAUUUGGACUGUAAUGAUAAGUAAUACAUCUUGUUGCUUUUGAGCAGUGUUUGGGAUAUUAUUAGUUGAUGAAAACUCUAGUGUGAGGUAUGUGUCGAAGAAAAAAAAUAAAAAUUCAGAGUGUUUUGGUUGAUUGCGAGCGUAGAAUAAAAGGAACCCUUAGAGUCAAACCUUUGACUUGGGGUCAUGGGCCAAAUUUUGGGUGGCCCGGAAUUUGAGUCGUGAUAGUUUCUAUGCUAAAUUUGCAGAUGAGAAGGUACACCGUACACAUAUCAUUUUCUCAUGUCCUCACUAAAAGCUUACUAACAUUUACUAUCUUUUAGGGUUGCAGCAGCCAUGCAUCUAUGCAUCUCACACAAAAAAACUAAUGGGAGAAUUACCAGAUAAAACCAAUGGAGAAUUACCAAAAUUAUCCUUCAACUAAAACUUUUAAAAUUCAAAGAAUUUAAAUCACUUCACUUGGUUUGUAGGGACAUUUAUGGUGCGUGACCCCUACAUUUAUUGUAAUUAUUGACAUUCAAAUUUUAAAUCAAAAUUUUGAGUUUUAAUUUUUACAAUUAUUAUAUAUAAUGAUAGUAUAAUUUGUUAUUUAAAUUUACUAUUUAAAACAAAAAUAUUUCUAAAAAAUAUUUUCAAAAUAUUAUUUAUUGUGUUUAUUUUUUUACAUUUUUUAUUUCUAAUUUUAAAUUUUAUUAAGAAAAAAACAAGUUUCAUAAUUAUAUAAUAAAAAUGAUGACUUUUUCAUAUCUAUAUUUUUAAAUUUUAAAUUGAUAAGUUAAUUUUUUUAUAUUAAAUUCGAAGAAGAUAAAAUGUUUAAUUUUUCAUUGAUUAUCUAAAAAGAAUAAGAAAAUGAUGAAGAAUGUUUAAUCAUUUUUUAUUUUUUAUAAUAAAAUAAAUUUUUUUAAAAAAAUAUAUGAUUUUUUUUCCUAUGCAUAGUUUUUUUUUUCUUAAUUUUCAUAUAUAUAUAUUUUUUUUCUCAAUGCGUCAAGUGGAUGGUGUCAAUACAUUUGAUAUGUUGAAUAUUAAUGAGGUAUAAAAAGUGAUCUUUAUGAUUAUUACUUUUAUUAUAAACCAUAGGUAUAACACAAAUAUGUUGUAAUCACAAUAUAAAUAUACAUUACAAUAAAACCUAAUUGAAAAAAUUUUGAAAUUUUUUAUAAAAGUGAUAAUUUUGUAUGAUCAUACCAUAUUUCAUGACAUAUUUAUAUUAUAAAUCAUUUAUGAAACUAAAUGAAAUACUAAUUUGAAUUCUUAAGACUAUAUAUAUAUAUAUAUUUCAAUGCACCGAAUGAUCGUUAAUAUAUUGAUAUGAUGUGUUAAUACCAAUAAGAUAUAAAUAAACAUUUUUAUAAUUAUUACUUUUAUAAUGAAAUAUAGAUAUAGCAUAAAUGUAUUAUACUUAUAAUACAAAUACACUAUCUUUACAAUAUAUUGCAACAUAAUUUAAUUUUUUCAUGUGUUGUAUUACCCAAUGAAUAGUUGUUCGUUAAUUCAUUUAAUAGUUGUGUAUUAUUCAAUUGAAUAUUUAUAUAUUAUUCAAUUGAUGAGAAAAUAAUUAUUCAUUUUAUUAGGGUAACAAAGUUUUUAAUUUAUAUUUCAUAUGUAAAAUGAUAUAAUAACCUUAGGAUAUAAUUUUUAUUUAUAAGAUAUUGAAAAUUAUUUUUUGUACGAGGUUCUUUAAAAAAUCUCAAUUUUUUUUGAAAAAAAAACAAUUUUUUAUUUUUUGGAGUAUGAGAAAUAUAAUGUUGAUUACUUGUACUUAUAUCAUGUAUGCACCCACUAAUUAUCACAUCCAACCCACCUUAUCUGAUAAUUCUCCCAAAAUUAAUUGAAUUUAUUGAUCUAUUUAGUGUUUCCCUACACUUUUUGUCAUAAGCAUAGAUGAAAAUUUCAAAAAAAAAAAAAAAAAAAGGUCGAAAUUUCAUGUUUCAGUAAGGGACAAUACAAAAAAUGGAAAAAAAUAUUGGAAAAAAUCAACGAAAUAUCAACUAGGACCAAUUAAUCAAUGAUUUAAAACGCGGAUUUAAUUUAAUUUAAUUGACCAUAAAAAAUAUAAAAUUAUAGUGAUAAUUUUCUUAACUUUUUUUUAUAUCAUUUAUAUAUUAAUUAAAUAUAAAAAAUAUAAAUAUUUAAAAAAAUUAUACAUAUAUAAUCAUUUAUUUUAUAUUAUUUAAUACAAUUGAAUUAAAUGGAUCAUAAUUUUAAUAUUAAAUAUAUUUUAAAAUUAGACCUAUUAUAAUUAUAUAUCACAAUAUUAUUAUGGAAUAAUAGUUAAUGUAAUUUAAUAAUAAAUAUAUGCUUAUAAAAUUCAUAUUUUUUUUAUUGAGGCAUAUAAUAUUAUUAUCAAAUAUGAUAAAUUUUAUUUUUCUUAAGAUAAUUUUGUAGUUUAUUACACUCAAAUUGAUCAAAUUUAACGUCAAUACGUAAAGUCUAGGAGCAUAUAGCAAUUAUCCAUAGGUAUCAUUUAUAAAAAAAAAUGUGUGUAUUUUCCGUAAUUAGUUUGUAAUGGAAGGUGUCAUAAUAAUAAAGAUAUUGAAUAACGACAUAAAUAUAAUAUUAAUAAUAAUAUCAACUGUCUUUAUAAUAAUAGGUAUAAUAUUAAUAAAAAUAAUACUAAUACCAUCAAUAAUAUUAAUAAUGAUAUGAAUAAUAUAAUAUUAAUCUCUCAUAAACAAUAAUAUUAAAAAUAGCAUAAAUAUUUAACUAUAAUAAUAUAAUAUUUAAUUAUUAAUAUUUAAUCCGUCUUUUUCUUUCCUUCUUUUUCACCUGUCGGCCGCCUUGGUUGAAAUUGUCAACCACCCACCCCCACAUAACAAUUGACGUUAGAUUAUUAUAUCAAAUUAUCAAUAUUGAGAGGUUUUUAGAAUUUAAAUGUUUUUUUUAAUUUAACGUUCACAUCUGGAUUUUUUUGUAAAAAAAAUAAAAAUAAAAGAUGAAUAAGUUGAUAAGAUUUCAUGAAAUUCAAAAUUCAUUUUUUGAAUUAAAUUGAUUAAAAAUAAAAUAGAGAUAAUCAUCCUAAUUCAAGAUAUAAAGAUUUUUCAUAGAUAUUUAUAUGAAUUAUAAUUUUUAUUUUUAUUUUAUAAAAAAAAAAGUGAGGAAUAUUGUAUUAGCAAACUAUUUAGGACAAAAAAAUAAGAAAUUUAAAAAAAAUGAUAAUGAAAUUGGCUCUUUUCUUUUUAAUAAAAAAAAAUAAGAAUCUUGACAAUUUUUUUAAAUAAAAAAUAUUUGACAGAUAAUUAGAAAAAAAAAAAUACAUAUUGGUAGUGCACAUUGUGAAUGUUCAACCGUUGUUAUCUUUUGUGGUGAAUAUAAAGUAAAAUUUCUGUGUCAGGCAUCUACCAAACCGUCAUAAUUAAUUGUUAACCUGGAAUAUUGACUGAAAAUUAAUGUUUACCUUAAUAGAUAAGUAAAGUGGGGUGACAUCAUCACUUAGGUCACUUCUGGAGGGCUGCUCCUGUAAUUAAUAUUAGGGAGAAUUGUGUUUUGGGUCCAGCUGGGUCCAAAAAUUAACAUUUGGUCCUCCAAUCACCCAUAUUUAAGUCCAAGGAUAUGAGAUAGUAAUUGACAAAAAUACCCACGUGACUCAUUUUUGUCUUUAUUCUACUACUUGCCACUCAUCUUUCUUAUUUAACCAUUUUUUGAUUUUUCAUUUUUUUAAAACUCUUUAUAAAUAAUUGAAAAUUUACAUUAUUUUUUAUUUUUAAAUUAUAAAUAAACAAAAAUUAUAUUAAUGAUUCAAAGACUAUUUUAGAAAAUACUUUUUAAAAAAAUAUUAAUUUAAAUAAAUAAAAAUUAAUAUUUUAUAUUUAUUUUUAUCAUUUACAUUUUAGAAGUAAAUAAUUUAAUGAUUAAAAUACCAUUUAAAAUAAAUAUAUUCACUAUUUUAUUUUAUUUUUAUACUAAAAAGUAUUUUAAAGUUUUUUUUUACUAUUAUAAAAUAAAAAGUUUAAUUUUUUUUUAAUCUUCUUCCUUCCUUAUUUUAACAACUUUUUGAACAUGAUUUUUAGUAAUAAGUUAUAUGAAAUGCUACAAAUUUAUUUAUUAAUGAUUUUUUUUUUAAUGAUUUGAAUUAAUUGAAAAUUUAUUAAAAUAAAAAAAAUAAAAAAAAUAAAGAAAGGGGAUGGAUUGAGAGUUUUUAUUUUAAUAUAUAUAUAUAUAUAUAUUUUAAAAAAAUUCCCAAAUUAAAAAAGGAAAAAAAAAAAACAAUUCCUCAAGUUCCCAUGAAAAAAAAAAUGUUUUUUUUAAAUUCCCAAAUUAUAAAAAAAAAAAAAAAAAAUUACUCAAGGGAACUCGUCUCUUCAUGAAAAAAAAAAUAUUUUUUUUUAAAAAAAAAUUCCUCAAGGUAACUCGUCUUUUGAAAAAAAAAAUUUUAUAUAUAUAUAUAUUUUUAAAAAUUCCCAAAUUAUAUUAAAAAAAAAAACCACCCGGGUGGAUAUUCGGAGAAAGUGGGAUGUCAUCCGGACAGAAUUCCUACCCGGGUGGAAUGAGCGAUGAUUCCAUCCGGGGGGAAUGAUCGUUCCACCCGGGUAGGAAUUCUGUCCGGAUGACAUCCCACUUUAUCCGGAUAUCCACCCGAGUGGUUUUUUUUUUUUAAUAUAAUUUGGGAAUUUUAAAAAGAUAUAUAUAUAAAUUUUUUUUUUUUUCAAGAGACGAGUUACCAGGCUCCUAAUAGGUUUUGUACUAUUUUUAAACAACUUGAAUUUGAUAUUAAGACAAUUAUUGAUAGUUUUUUUUUUUCUUUUUUUUACCAAACUAUUUCAUUAAGACAUUCCCUACAAAAAUUAACACAUAAGAAAUAAAAUUUUGAGUUUUUUGAGUUAUUGUACAAGGUAUUACACUAACUGUACAAGACAAAUUUAGUAAUUGUAUAAGGGUGUAUAAGACUACUUUUUGUUAAGGAUUUCAAGUGAUUUUGAAAAAAUUUCCUAUUUUUUUCCAUUCAAAAUUUUUUCCCCCACUCAAAUUCUCUCACUCAAGAAUUGUUUCAAAUUUUAUUUUUAAAUUUCAUCAUCAAAAAUUUGUAAUUGUAUAUUUUGUUUUGUAGUUUUAGCAAUGUUAUUUCUUUUCACUAUAUAUUUUUUUUUUGUGAAAUUUUAUCCAAAUGAAUCUAUAUUUAAAAUUAUAAUCAUAUUUAUCAAAAUUUUUACUAAGAUUAUCUUUAAUUCUUUUAAUAUAUUUAUACUCAUUUAUUUAAAAAAUGAAAAACUAAUUUAUUUAUUUUUUUGUAAACAUGUUCUAUUACCUUUCAAGUAAAAAAUUAGAUAAGUUUCAAAGUCAAUAAAUAAAAAAAUUAAAUACCACUUUCAAUAAUUUUUAGAUAAAAUUUUAUAUAAUAUAUUUUAUUUGAAACUUAAUUUUUAAAGUUUAACUAAAAAAUUGUAUUGACAAUUUUCUUGUUGUGGGUCAAAAUACUUUGCAUUAGUCUAUCUAGAUAAGAAAAAUUAUUAAUAUAAUAUUAGAACUUCAUAUCUUAGUUUUUUUUUUUCAACAAAUUUAUCUUUUUAAAAAUUUUAAAAUAAAAUCAUUAAAAAUUAAAAAGCUAAAAAGAUAUAUAUAAUAAAGUGAAGUGAUAGUUAAUUUUAAAAUUUUUUAAAAUAUGGUUAAUGUAGAAAAUAUAAAAAAUAAUUAAAAAUAAGAGAAAAAUAUAGAUGAAAGGGUAAUAUAAAUUUAAAAUAAAAAAUGAAAAUUAAACUAAAAGAUAAAUACAAAAAGAUAAAAAAUAUUUGGAUGAAAAAUCCCAAAAUUUUUAUCAUUGCUUUUAAUAAGAGCAAAAAGAUUCAAUAUCUUUAAAAAUGAAAAAUAAAAAAAUAUUAUUGUUUUUUAUUUGACAUAAAAUAGAAAUAUAUAUUGGAAUAAAAAGGACAAAAAAAAGUUAGAAAUGAGUAAUAUUUAAUAGGGAAUAGAAAAGGAAAUAAAAAAUAAAAAAAAAAUUAAAAUUCACACUCACUUGUAGGCAUAUAAGGGAUAAGGGUAUUUUAGGAAUUAAUGAAAGACAAUAUCCUUCAUCUUCAUUUUCAUACUUUGUUUGGGUCUUGGGCUUAAAUAUGAGUGAUUGGAGGACCAAAUGUUAAUUUUUGGACCCAGCUGGACCCAAAACACAAUUCUCCCUUAAUAUUAUACGCCUCUCAGAAGGCUCUAUAUAUAUAUUAUUAAUUUGGCCAUUGACCGAUGGACAAUAUGAUUAAGGGUCAAGAGCAGUAAUGAAACCGUGAAGCACUUGGAUAGACCUUAUAAGAAGCCAUCAAAUGGAGCAGAGGAACCAAGCUUAGAUAGUGAUAUAAUGGCUGAAGAAGUGAAGCUAAUUGGGGUGUGGGGAAGCCCAUUUAGUCGCAGAGUAGAGAUUGCUCUGAAACUGAAAGGAGUCCAGUAUGAGUACAUUGAAGUUGAUCUCACUAAUAAGAGCCCUUUGCUUCUCAAGUCUAACCCCGUUCACAAGAAGGUCCCUGUGCUCUUGCACAACGGGAAGCCCAUCGCGGAAUCACUCGUUAUUCUCGAGUACAUCGACGAGACCUGGAAAGCCAAUCCUAUCUUGCCUCAGCACCCUUAUGACAGAGCCAUGGCACGCUUCUGGGCUAAGUACAUAGAUGAAAAGGUAUAAUACCAUUUUUCCCAUGCCCUUUUUUUUUCCCCCGCAGAACAUUCUUGAGUCAAAUGAUUUUUUCCUAGGCCUGCAACCCCUAUUUCACUUAGAAACCAAUUGAAUCUAUUGUGUUUAGUGCUUGCCUGCACUGUGGAACGCUUGUUGGUGCGAAAAGAAGGACCGAGAGAAGGCCGUGGAAGAAGCAAACGUGUGCCUGAAAACGCUAGAAAAUGAGCUCAAGGAUAAGAAGUUCUUUGGAGGAGAGAGUAUCGGAUUUGUAGAUAUCGCUGCCAAUUUCAUAGGCUUUUGGGUUGGAGUUCUUGGGGAAGUGGUUGGAGUGGAAUUGCUGACAAUUGACAAAUUUCCAAUAUUAUGCAAAUGGAGAGAUGAGUACGUCGGGUGCAGUGUGAUCAAGGAAAAUCUGCCUUCCAAAGAAAAGCUAGGGGCCUAUUUGCGGACCCGGGCUGAAAGCGCCAGUCAAUCCAAAUGAAUGGUUUGUGGAUGAGGUUAUGCGGACUGCUGCUCAUGGACAUGAGUAACUUGAAAGAAAACCAGCCUUCUGUAUAUUUGUGUAAUGCGUUGUGCUUCUGCUUUUCUAGUAUGUUGUCUACUUGUUUUGGCAUGUAAUAAGGACUAAGGAGUCGAUUGCCGUGGUUUGUCGUUUUGGAUGAACCGGCAAACGUGUUAGACUAUAUGGUCUGUGCACCUUUUCCACUCCUCGCUUUGUGAGAAUAAAGGAUGUUGAGUCAAACAUUGACAGUGUGAACUUGAACAUGGAAACAGUAAAGCCCGUCACUCUAGCUUUGUGUGCGGUUCUAAGCUGAACAUGUAAUCCAGGAGCCGUGAUUCAACUUUCUUACUAACAAAAAGACAAUAUACACCCACUCAAUCGGUCAUUAAUGACAUUUAUUUUCUUUAUUCAUCAUGUCAUCAUGCUAUUCCUUCACUUUUUCCGUCUCAAGUGGAUUAAGCAGAGACCUUGGAAAAAUUAAUUUCAAACAAGUUCCUUUGGAGGAGGCAGAAGUAGGCAUGUUUGCAUGUGAUUAAGAAUAAACAUCGGCCAUGGAGAAUGAACAUUUUUACAUGACCUAGCCAUGAAUAUAUACUAAAACAUAAAGAGCUAGGAAUUCCCAACUCCAGCUCGGGUAGAUUUGGUGUCGAGUUAACCUGCCAUCCUGUCCAAUCUAAUUAAGUUGCAGCUAGUCCUAAAAAGAACGAAUUUCCUUCUAAAUAUUCAAAUAUGAACAAAACACUUGAAAUCAUUUAGGAACUAGGAAGGAUACCUUUCAUAAACAUGUCAUAACACACUUGGUAGAUUAUGCAUUAAUAGGGCCUCUUUUUCUUCCUGUUUCACUUUUCUGGAAGUGUACACCAACAAUUGUGAAUUUAUAAAUAUAAAACUCCUAGAGGCUUAUUUGCCAAGUAAUCCUAUAAUUGUCCCUCCGUAAGAAGGCGCGAACUUGAAAGAAGAACCAAAUGUAAAAGCGGAACCACAUACUCUUUUAGUGUGGAAACAGAGAAGUUGGGACCAAGUGAAGCUCAUUGUGAUGUGGAAAACCCUUUGAAAAAAAAAACAAUUUUUUAAACACUCCCUCGAUUGUUUAAAAGUGAACAACUAUUUUUUGGAGUAUGAGAAAUGUAAUAUUGAUUGUGCAACCACUAAUUAUCACAUCCAACCCACCCCAUCUGAUAAUUUUUCCAAAACUAAUUGAAUUUAUUCAUCUAUUUAGUGUUUCCUUACACUUUUUGUCAUAAGCAUAAAUGAAAUUUUUUUUAAAAUGGUCUAAAUUUCAUGUGACGACACAAAAAAAGGGAAAAAAUCAGCGAAAUAUCAAUUGGGACCGAUUAAUCAAUGAUUUAAAAUGCGGAUUUAAUUUAAUUUAAUUGACCAUAAAAAAUAUAAAAUUAUAGUGAUAAUUUUCUUAACUUUUUUUAUAUCAUUUAUAUAUUAAUUAAAUAUAAGAAAUAUAAAUAUUAAAAAAAUUAUGCAUAUAUAAUCAUUUAUUUUAUAUUAUUUAAUACAAUUAAAUUAAUUGAUCAUAAUUUUAAUAUUAAAUAUAUUUUAAAAUUAGACAUAUUAUAAUUAAAUAUUACAAUAUUAUUAUAAAAUAAUAAUUAAUAUAAUUUAAUAAUAAAUAUAUACUUAUAAAAUUCAUAUUUUUUUAUUGACGCAUAUAAUAUUAUUAUCAAAUAUGAUAAAUUAUAUCAUAUAUAUAUAUAUCAAAUUCUUGAAAAAAAAUUAAAUGUCUAUUAGACUUCUAAUUAUAUUUGUAUGAGAUUUUUCUUAUAUUUUCAUAAGUUUUUAUCAAUUUUAAAUUUAUUCAUUUUUUUUUUUAAAAUAUUGAUGAUAUAUCUUUGAUAUAUUUAUAAAAUUAAGGGAGAAUUAUCCAAAAGGGUGGGUUAGAAAAAAUAAUGACUAUAAAGGCUCAUUGUUUUAGAAGACAAUUUUACCCUUGAAUAUGUUUUCUAUAUUAUUUAUAAAUAAAUUGAGAUUGUCAAUCAUGUGGGGCCUACACAUGAUGAUAAGUACAGGUUGAUAAAUGUUGUGGGACCCAUACAUGAUGAUAUGUACCAGUUGAUAGGCAAUCAACGGUACAUUUCUUAGCUUGAAAAAAUUGUUGUCAAUUUUGAAUAAUUAACUGUUUAAAAAUUUGCUAUUUUUUUAUUCAAAAAAACUUGAGAUUUUUUAAAGAACCUUGUAAAAAAAAAUAAAAAUUAAUAUCUCAUAAAUAAAAACCAUAUUCUAAAGUUAUUAUAUCGUUUUAUAUAUAAAACAUACAAUUAAAAACUUUGUUAUCAUAAUAUAAUAAAUAAUUAUUUUUUACGAACACUCAUCAAUUGAAUAAUAUAUAAAUAUUCAAUUGACUAACACACACCUAUUAAAUGGAAUAACUCACAAUUAUUCAUUAGGUAAUAUAGCACGUGAAAAAAUUAAAUAAAAAUAAAUUAAAUUAUGUUGUAAUAUAUUGUAAUGAUAGUGUAUUUAUAUUGUAAGUAUAAUGCAUUUAUGUUGUACCUAUAUUUCAUUAUAAAAGUAAUAAUUUUAAAAAUAUUUAUUCAUACUCUAUUGGUAUUAACACAUCGUAUUAAUAUAUUAACAACAUUUAUUUAGUGUUUUGNNNNNNNNNNNNNNNNNNNNNNNNNNNNNNNNNNNNNNNNNNNNNNNNNNNNNNNNNNNNNNNNNNNNNNNNNNNNNNNNNNNNNNNNNNNNNNNNNNNNNNNNNNNNNNNNNNNNNNNNNNNNNNNNNNNNNNNNNNNNNNNNNNNNNNNNNNNNNNNNNNNNNNNNNNGUAUUUAUAUUGUAAUUAUAACAUAUUUUUGUUGUACCUGUAUUUUAUAAUAAAAGUAAUAAUCUUGAGGAUCACCUUUUAUACCUUAUUAAUAUUCAACAUAUCAAAUAUAUUAACAUCAUCCACUCGAUGCAUGAAAAAAAAAUAUAUAUGAAAAUUUAUAAAUAAAAAAAAACACUAUGCAAAGGAAAAAAAUCAUAUAAAUUUUUUAAAAUUAUUUUAUUAUAAAAAUAAAAAAAUGAUUAAACAUUUUCUAUCAUUUUCUUAUUCUUUUUAGAUAAUCUGAAUGAAAAAUUAAACAUUUUAUCAUUCUUAAAUUUAAUACAAAAUCAUAAUUUGUCAAUUUAACAUAUAUAUCUAUAUAUAUAUAUGAAAAAAUCAUCAUUUUUAUUAUAUAAUUAUAAAACUUAUUUUUUUCUUCAUAAAAUUAAAAAUUAGAAUAAAAAUAAAAAAGGAAAAAAAACAAUAAAUGAUAUUUUGAAAAUAUUUUUUAAAAGUAUUUUUGUUUUAAAUAGUAAAUUUAAAUAACAAAUUAUAUAUAAUUGUAAGGGUUAAAUCCAAAAUUUUGAUUUAAAAUAUAAAUAUCAAUAAUUACAAUAAAUGUGGGACCCAUGUACCAUAAAUGUAUUGACAAAUCAAGUGAAGUGCUUUAAAUGCUUUGAAUUUUAAAAGUUUUAGUUAAAGGGCAGUUUUGGUAUAUUAAGCUUAUUAAAGUCCUCCCCAAGAAUUAUUAAAAGAUACCAUCCUUUUAAGUAAUUGUUCUUCCCAGCCUACCCUUUUGGAUAAUUCUCCCUAAAAUUAAAGUAUUAUUACCGAUAUUUUUAUUAAUGUUCAUAAGAGAAGGAAUGAGAGAAGUCCAUUGUAAGAGUUGACUGCUCUUGUUUGUUAUUUCCACUAAGAUAACGUAAUUUGUACCUAGUAGAUACUAGAUUGUAAAGAUUAUAAUAGUCCAGAAGCUUCUCCGCCAAGUAACCGUGUAAUCAUCACUCCAUACAUAAGGAGGCAUCAAUCCAGUAGGAAAAAUAAACAAAAUUCAAAGUACAGCAUCAUGAACCAGCCUUCUUGUUGGUUCUCGUACCGUUGAUGUCAUGUGGAGUUGACUGCACUUGUUCAUCGCUUCCAAUAAGACCUUGGAUAUAUUCAUUAGUUUACUUACCAUAUGUUGUUAUAUAUGCUACCAAAGCGUAAGCUGGAAAAAACUUAGAAAAGAGAAAAGGAGGCACCGAUUUUAAGUUUUAACCAAUAGCAUUAUUGUCACUAAUAUAUCUUGUACAUGUCAUAUCAUAUAACCACUUUUAAAUGCGCAUGUAUAUUAGCUAUGAAAGGCAAACUAAGACAAUUAGAUAUUAAUUAAAGCUAUGAAAGGCAAACUAAGACAAUUAGAUAUUAUUUUAAUUAAUGGUGCUUAUAUAUGCCUGAUUAAAUGUAACUAAGAGUCUAUUUGAUAGUGAUUUUAGAAAGCGUUUUUCAUAUUUUUAAUACUUGAAAUUUUUUAUUAUUUAAGUGUUAAAAAUGUUAGAAACUCUUUUUAGAAUUACUUUCAAAUGCACUUUAAAAGUGUGUUUGAUAAUGAUUCUGGAAAGCGUUUUUAGUUUUUCUAAUACUUAAAAAAUUUUACUUUUUAAAUAUUAAAAAUAUUAGAAAUACUUCUCAAAAUCACUAUUAAACACACUCUAUAUGAUUUUGGAAAGGUGUUUCACUCAUAAGGUUGAAUUUUUUUGGAAUAUUUUAAUUUAUUAAUAUUUAAAUAAGAAAAUAAUAAUAAUCUAUGUCAAAUCCAAAAAAAAAUGAAAAAAAAAUUACUUGAUAUUUAUAAAUUAAUAUUGUAGUGUGUCACGAGUAGAAGAUAAAUCAUAAACACUACGAUUACCAUAUAAAUGAUAUAUUAAUGAAUUAUAUCUAAUAUAAUAUAUAAUAUAUAAUGUUAUGCCUAUAUUUGGUUUAUAAAUAAGUUUAUAAAAAAAAUGUUUUGAUAUUUGAUAUUUAUUCAAAAUAAAAAUUAUAUUAAUUGUGUCAUAGUAUUUGCUAGUAAAAAGAGUACUAGCAUGUUUAGUAUUAUUUAAAAAUUAUUUUACAAUUUAUAAUUUAGUAAGUAGUUUCUCUUUAUUAAUAACAUUUAUGAUUUUAAUAUUUAAAAUUUAUAAAUAAAAAAUAUUAUAGUAUUUUGUUAAAUAUAGAAAAUAAUUUGUAUAUAUUAAGUAAUACAUGUAAUAAUAUUAUUUUAUGAUAUUAUAUAUAUAUAUAUUAGUCCUUUUUGAACUAUAUAUUUAACUUUUUUAAUUAAAAUUAUUUGCUUGAAAAAAUGAGUAAUAUAUAGAAAAUUGAUAUAAAAUAUAAAUUUAUAUUUCAUAAGAUAUAUAUAUAUCUCAUAUUUUAACUUAUACAUAAGAAAAAGUGCAUAAUACAUGUCAUUACUUAUCUUGUCCAAUUGAAGAUGAGAUAUGAUAAUUGAUCAAAUAAUUUAUUUUAUUUUAUUAUCCAUCAAUAAAAUUUAUUACAUUAUUUCAUAUAUAUUUAAUCCAUUAAAAGCAAAUGUAAUUGUAGACCUAGCCGGAGACUUUUAAGUUUUUUUUUUUAAGGAUUUUAUAACAUUGGGAGGGUGUCUUCUCAUCACCAGCAGCUGGCAGCACCCUAGGCAAAUGGGGGGACCCCUUCCCGACACCUGAGACGAGCUGGUGGAGGCAGCAAGUCAAGAUGGCCGGCCAUGCUGGUGGUCAAAGAUGCCAUACUUGCUGAGGGGAGCAAUAGUGGAGUCGGUAGUGGCUUACUGGUUCCGGGGGGGAUCUUAGAGAGUGAAGUUGGUGCGAGAACGAAAAAAGAGGUCUUCGGAGGGGAGAGAAGUUUGCCUGAGGAAGAAAGAGUGCAGGUAUGGUUUUCUGUUAAAUGGAUCUCUUUGCUUUCAUAUAGUUUCGGUUAUGAUUUUCUGGAUUACUAGUGUAUAUGUAUAUAUUUAUUCUGAUGUUUGAAUGUGAGCCUUGUGGAUUUUGUCAUGUUCUUGUGGGAUUUGAGCUCAUUUGCUUUCGUUUUAUGCUUAGCAUGGCUUGGUCUUCAACCUGUUUUCAGAGUUCUAUUUUUGUUUUCAGACUUCCACUACCCAUUUUACUCUGUUUUCCGCCAUCAUCCUUUCUCCAGUUGCUUAUUUUCCCACCCAUUCACCAUUCCCACAUUCUCUCACGUCCGUGCAACCCGCAUGCUCCCCUCAUGACAUUCCCUUGCUCAUCCUAUCAUGCAUUUCCCACUCCCAUGUUCAUGCCAUACUCACCACCAUCUUUUCUCUCUCUACACCGUGUCAUGCACCCAUUUGUUUUCCUAAAAAGAUCACAACCCCUGUUUUGUGCUCCAUCACAGCCCAUGCUUGUGCCACCACAUAACCCUCGUUUUCACCCCCACUUUCAUACCCAUGCAACCAAUCUUUCUCACCCUCUCAUCACCCACUGAAGUGUAUGGAAGUCGUGGUGAUUUCCCUCCAUCUCGCGUUGCCUAGGCUGUCCUCAGUCCGCGUGUUUUCCUGCGCGCUUGCUUCAGAUUAAACUUCGUUCGUUGGCUUCUUUGAAGCCCUCUCAACUCGUGUUGUAGUUUAUUGGAUCAAAGCCCAAAUCAGAGAGGAAGGCAAACCUGGGUUCUUGGGUACAAGUGUAUGCCAAAGGGGAGGUGUAGGAGGGUGAAUUUCACUAGUGGUGGUGUUCAGGAAGUGGGGUUUAUUAUUAUCAUAGGAGUGGGAGGAUAUGUGGGCAUAGAUCAACCUACAGGUAUGGACAUAAAAGUGGGCCUGAGCAUGGGCAUGAAACUGGGCCUGAGCCUGGGCAUGAAUGUGGGCCUGAGCAUGGGUUUGAAUAUUGAAAUGUGGCAAGUAGCCCGGAUGCAACAACCAACUUUGCCUCCUGGAGGUUAUAACCUCAUGAUGGGCUCAGGUGGUUAUACUCUUUAGCAACCAUAUGGUAAUGGCUACCAUUAGGAAUGCUAUACACGUAAUGGAUGCCUAUUAUUUCAAGUGAUUCCUAUAUUCCCAAUUUAUGCAAUUUAAUCCUUAAAGCCCUAAUUUCUCGAUAUUCUUUCAAAUUUCGAUUUUCACACUAAUUUAUUUGAUCACUAUUACCAUUAUUUCAUUAUUAUUUGUUUAUUUCUAAAAUCCGAUCUUUAAACAUAUCUUCAAAAAUUCCAUUUUUUAAAAAAAAAUUUAAUUUGCUAAUUCCGAAGAUUCCCAUACUCGCUUUAAUUUAUUUAAUCAUAAAUAUUUUAUUCAUUUAUUUUAAAACUCCAUUUUUAAUCUAUUCUUUAAAAUUCCCGAUUAUCGGAUUAAAUUCCGAAAAUUCCCAUACUCACUUUAAUUUAUUUAAUCAUAAAUAUUUUAUUCAUUUAUUUUAAAACUCCAUUUUUAAUCUAUUCUUUAAAACUUCCGAUUUCAAAAAUUCCAAUAUUCACAUUAAUUUAUUUAAUUAUUAUUAUUUUAUUUAUUUAUUCUAAAAUUCCAUUUUUAAACAAUUCAUUAAGAUUUCCACUUCCGCUAAUUCCAAAAUUCCAACAUUCACAUUAAUCUAUUUAAUUAUUAUUAUUAUUAUUUUAUUCUAAAAUUUCACUUUAAACAAUUCCAAAAUUCCAACAUUCACAUUAAUCUAUUUAAUUAUUAUUAUUUCAAUUAUUUAUUUUGAAAUUCCAUUUUAAACAAUCCUUCAAAAUUCCAAUUUCUGAACUUAAUUUCCAAUUUCCAAACUUCUAAUUUCUUUCAAAUUUAAUAUCCAAAAUUUCAAUUCUUAAAUUUAAUUCCCAAGACUCCAAUUAUCAGAUAAUCUUUGGGACUUCAAUUUUCAAAUAAAUUUCAAAAAUCCAGUUUUCACUCGAACAGUUUUAAUUCCACUUUGAUUUUCAAAUAAUCUUAUUUUUCUCUUAAUUUUAUAUAAGCAUGAAUGUCAUUUUCAUAAUUUCGGAACAAUGGAAUUUGUGAGAUUAAUUCGUGCAAGAUCAAUCGGGCUUUGGUGGGGGCCCCACAUACGUGAUUUUAUGAUUGAUUUAUUUAUUUAUUGAUUUGUUAGUCACGCGCGAUUAAUUUAUUCCACUCUAUGGCAUGCAUGUGAUCAUUCUGUGUUUAUUCACUAACCCCAUUCCAUGAUAGCGCAUUGUUGUUUGCUGCCCAGGUACGUAUUCACUCAUUCUGAUCUUUCGCUAUUCAUAUUCUGAUUCUCAUAUGUGCAUGAUAGUUCCGGGUAUUCACUGUUUUUCCUAAUCGAUUGUCAUGUCUGCUUCAUUUUAUUAGUAGAGACCUAUUUUAGGGGCUUAGAGGGGUGCUACGGUCUUUACCGUACCUUCCCGACAAGUAACCUAACCCCCGAACCCGAUCCGGUUUUUCGCAGACCGUCUUUUCCAAAAUAUGGAGUCACAUUUAGGGUUUUUCUUUCUUAUUUUGUUUACCCUUUUAAAAAUAAAACAAAAAUAAGUGACGACUCCAAGUCAUUUUUCUUAAUCAAUAAUCAAAUCAUUUUUCCAAAAUAAGAAAAUCGAGCUCGCCAUUCGAGUGGGAAACGCAUUGAGCCGAAAUGCGGGGUCCACAGUAAUAUUAUUUUAUCGAUUAAAAGAAGAAAAAGUAAAAUUAAAGUGCUUAGGAAAACAUGGAAGACAUUUUAAUGGAUGGUUAUGAUCUCUUUGUCUUGGGUCCUUUGGCCAUCUUGACUACUUACCUUAUUAUUAAAUACUUUCUAUAUUUAGGUAAUAAUUUUACUCUUUUCUUAUUCAUUAGAUACGAAUUUAUUUUUAAAAUUUUAUUUCUCUUAAGAUAAUUUCAGACUUUAUCUCCUCGAAUUGAUCAAAUUUAAUAUAAAUAUGUAAAGUCAAGUAGCAAUAGGAAUAAUAUUAGUAGGAUCAAUAAUAUGAAAAAUAUAUAUUAAUGUCAUGAAUAAUAAUAUUAAUAAUAGUAUUAAUAUUUAAUUAUAAUAAUAUAACAAAUAAAGCAUAAAAGGUAAAAAAUUAAAGUUGUAACCAGGAGAAGUGGUGUCUGUGCAUCCACGUGAUUAAUUCAAAUGAAGCCAUACGACUUAAAUCUUUCUAAAAUCAUUGAUGGGGUAUGGAUUUAGAAUUUUCUGUUUUCCCAUCCGUUUUUUUGACUUCCUGGGCCGUGGUUGAAAUUGUCGACCACCACCCAUACUUGGCCACAAUCGAACUUAGAUUGUUAUAUCAAUUUUGAGAGGAAAAAGGGUGACGGUUGUUGUACUAACCUGACUAUUUGGAUCAGAAAUUUUGAGAGAAAUAGGUGAAAAAGAAAAUGAGUGGGAAAAAAAAAUAAGGAAAAUUUUUAAAUAAAUAAAUACAUAUCAGUAGUGCGCAUUCUGAAUUUUCAACUGUUGUUAUGUUUUGUGGUGAAUGUGAAGUCAAAUUUUCGUGUCACGCAUCUACCCAACCGGCAUAAUUAAUCAUCAAAACUGUAAGCCUAGAAUAUUGCCUGAAAAUGAAUUUUCACUUUGUUGGAUAAGUAAAGUCGAGUGACAUCAUCACUUAGCCUAGAGCAGAAGACAUCUUAGCCAAGUAGUGAAACCUUGAAGCUAUUGGACAUUCCUUAUAAGAAGGCAUCAAAACGAGCAGAGGAACCAAGCUUCGAUAGUGGUGAUAUAAUGGCUGAAGAAGUGAAGCUAAUUGGGAUGUGGGUAAGCUCAUUUAGUCUCAGAGUAGAGAUUGCUCUGAAACUGAAAGGAGUCCAGUAUGAGUACAUUGAAGUUGAUCUCACUAACAAGAGUCCUUUGCUUCUCAAAUCUAACCCUGUUCACAAGAAGGUCCCUGUGCUCUUGCACAACGGGAAGCCCAUCGCGGAAUCACUCGUUAUCCUCGAGUACAUCGACGAGACCUGGAAAGACAAUCCUAUCUUGCCUCAGCACCCUUACGACAGAGCCAUGGCACGUUUCUGGGCCAAAUACAUAGAUGAAAAGGUAUGUCUUUUCUCAAGUCUAGAGUUCACGUUCUGGGGACCUGCAACCCCAAUUUCACACAGAAAUUAAUUGAAUCUAUUGAGUUUAGUGUGUGCCUGCACUGUGGAAAGCUUGUUGGUGCGAAGAGAAGGAACGAGAGAAGGCCGUGGAAGAAGCAUGCGUGUGCCUGAAAACGCUAGAAAAUGAGCUCAAGGAUAAGAAGUUUUUUGGAGGAGAGAGUGUCGGAUUUGUAGAUAUCGUUGCCAAUUUCAUAGGCUUUUGGGUUGGAGCUAUUGGAGAAGCGGUUGGAGUGGAAUUGCUGACAAGAGACAAAUUUCCAAUAUUAUGCAAAUGGAGUGAUGAGCACGUCGGGUGCCGGGUGAUCAAGGAAAAUCUGCCUUCCAAAGAUAAGGUCGUGGCCUUUUAUCGGACCCGGGUUGAAAGCGCCAGUUAAUGCAAAUGAAUGGUUUAUGGUCCAUGGAUGAGGUUAUGCGGACUGCUGCUCAUGGACACGAGUAACUUGACAGAAACCAGCCUUCUCCCAUAUGUUUGUGUGAUGUGUUAUGCCUCUGCUACUGUAAUACGUUGUAUACUUGUUUUUGGCGUGUAAUAAGCAGUCGAUUGUCGUUUUGGAUGAACCGGCAAACGUGGUAGACUAUAAAGUCUGUACACCUUUUCCACUCCUCGCUUUGUGAGAAUAAAGGG